rnacentral:sRNA from 1 species
AGAAUUACUCCUUAAGUGACCCUUUUGGGUGAACACCUUCAGUGCACCUAAAGUGCCGUAUGCACAACACCACUUUCUUUCUUCUGUUUCUUUCCUCCUCUCUUCUUUCUCUUCUCUUUUAAUUAAAUAAUUUUCACAUAAGCCAGUGUGGAUUUAUCUGUAACAAUCCAAUAUUUUUGACCUAUUAUACCUGGCUAGCAUCUAUUUCUUUCUUUAAUCACUAUUAAUUUCCUUUUAAGUUAUGGUCCUGGGUGCCUUGGUUAAACCUAUUGGCAUUUACAAGAGAUGUUGGGUGCCAAAGUAAACAUUGUAUAUUAAUAAGCCUGUUAGCAUUUGAACCGCUCUCUUUUCCCCUUCGUAGUGUACCUGGAUGGAACAAAACCUGAACAGGACCUCUUUUUGCAAGUAUAUGAAGAUCUAAUACAAGAACUAGCAAAGCAAAAGUGUUUGCAAGUGACAGCAUAAAGACGGAACACAACAAAUUCUUCCUGAAGUGAAUUAGGAAACUCCAAGGAGUAAUUUAAGAACCUUAACCAAGAUACAAUGUAUACUGUGGUACAAUGACAGCCAUUGUUUCAUAUGUUUGAUUUUUAUUGCACAUGGUUUUCCCAACAUGUGGAACAAUAAAUAUCCAUGCCAAUGGACAGGACUGUACCUUAGCAAGUUGCUCCCUCUCCAGGGAGCGCAUAGAUACAGCAGAGCUCACAGUGAGUCAGAAGGUCUCCACUUUCUGAACAUAGCUCUAUAACAAUGAUUGUCAAACUUUUCUAACUGGAGCUCAGAGUAAGAAAUAAAGAUUACAUCACAAUCCAA